rnacentral:rRNA from 1 species
UACGGAGGGUGCGAGCGUUAAUCAGAAUUACUGGGCGUAAAGCGUGCGCAGGCGGUUUGUUAAGCGAGAUGUGAAAGCCCCGGGCUCAACCUGGGAACCGCAUUUCGAACUGGCAAACUAGAGUCUUGUAGAGGGGGGUAGAAUUCCAGGUGUAGCGGUGAAAUGCGUAGAGAUCUGGAGGAAUACCGGUGGCGAAGGCGGCCCCCUGGACAAAGACUGACGCUCAGGCACGAAAGCGUGGGGAGCAAACAGG